GUAUUUUUUAUAAAGCUGAGCCAGGCCCAUCAUCGCCUCCUUGCGCACUCGCCACUGGCAGGAGUAAAACAAACGGAUGAGGUUAAUAAGGAUGCUAUCCAACAGUUCCUGUGUGACUCCAUCUCCCUCCAGGAUGAUAGAACACAUCAGGUCCAUCAUGUGCAUCUGCACUUUCUGAUUGUGGCUGUUGCUGCCAGAAGGAAAGAGGAAGACACACACGGAUUCUCAUUGUAGUGUGCAAGAUUAUAACCACUGUCAAAAGCAGGCUCCUCGCCUUGAGUUUGUCAUGUGAGGUG